UACGUAGGAGGCGAGCGUUGUCCGGAAUCACUGGGCGUAAAGGGCGCGUAGGCGGCCUUGCAAGUCGGUUGGUGAAAGCCCGGGGCUCAACCCCGGAGGUGCGGCCGAGACUGCAGGGCUGGAGGCCGGAAGAGGAGGGUGGAAUACCCAGUGUAGAGGUGAAAUUCGUAGAUAUUGGGUGGAACACCGGUGGCGAAAGCGGCUCUCUGGUCCGGACCUGACGCUGAGGCGCGAAAGCGUGGGGAGCAAACAGG
rnacentral:rRNA from 1 species